UCCAGACUCCUACGGGAGGCAGCAGUGGGGAAUAUUGGGCAAUGGGCGCAAGCCUGACCCAGCAACGCCGCGUGAAGGAAGAAGGCUUUCGGGUUGUAAACUUCUUUUCUCAGGGACGAAGAAAGUGACGGUACCUGAGGAAUAAGCCACGGCUAACUACGUGCCAGCAGCCGCGGUAAUACGUAGGUGGCAAGCGUUAUCCGGAUUUACUGGGUGUAAAGGGCGUGUAGGCGGGACUGCAAGUCAGAUGUGAAAACCAUGGGCUCAACCUGUGGCCUGCAUUUGAAACUGUAGUUCUUGAGUACUGGAGAGGCAGACGGAAUUCCUAGUGUAGCGGUGAAAUGCGUAGAUAUUAGGAGGAACACCAGUGGCGAAGGCGGCUUGCUGGACUGUAAAUGACGCUGAGGCUCGAAAGCGUGGGGAGCAAACAGGAUUAGAUACCCGGGUAC
rnacentral:rRNA from 1 species